UCAGAUGCUGCAUGCCGUAGCCGGUACUUUCAGAGACCUCAACGUUCCGAGUUCCAAAUACAGAUGCGAGACGCUCUUCGGACAGCGAAGGAACGACACCGCCACAGAGGACGUAAUCAACGUAGAACGGCAGCCGGUCCAAUGAUACAGCGCAACUUAUGGAGCGACGAGCGUGCAGACGAGGAAGAGGAGCAGGACCAGCAAGACCCGACAUAAGAUGCAUGGGACGAGGAUGAGGACGAAGACAACACUCACGGUCGCAGGAGGUCGAGAGA